GCCCGGAUAGCUCAGUCGGUAGAGCAGGGGAUUGAAAAUCCCCGUGUCCUUGUUCGAUUCCGAGUCCGGGCACCA
rnacentral:tRNA from 2 species